rnacentral:rRNA from 1 species
GAUGAACGCUGGCGGCGUGCCUAACACAUGCAAGUCGAGCGAACAGACGAGGCUCUUGCUCCUCUGACGUUUGCCGCGCAGGGGUGAAUAACACGUGUAUAACCUACCUAUAAUUCUGAUAUAACUUCGAGAAACCGGAGCUUAUCCGGUAUAAUCUAUUGAUCCACAUGGUUCAAUAGUGAAAUACGGUGUUGCUGGCACGACUCGCGGGAUCCCCGCCGCAUUAGCUAGUAGUGAAGUUAAAGGCUUACGAAGGCAACGAUGCGUAGCCGAGCGAAGAGACGGAUAGGCGACACGGGAACGGAAACACGGUCAAGACUCCUACGGGAGGCAGCAGUCGGGAACCUGCCGCAAUGGGCGGAAACCUGACGGAGCAACGCGGAGUGAGUGAUGACGGUCUUGGGAUCGUAAAGAUCUGUUAUUAGGGAAAAACAGAUGUGUAAGUAACUAUAGCCGUCUUGACGGUAAUUAAUCAGAAAGCACCGGCUAACUACGUG